GACGAACGCUGGCGGCGUGCUUAACACAUGCAAGUCGAACGGUAAGGCCCUUUCGGGGGUACACGAGUGGCGAACGGGUGAGUAACACGUGGGUGAUCUGCCCUGCACUUUGGGAUAAGCCUGGGAAACUGGGUCUAAUACCGGAUAGGACUACGCGAUGCAUGUCGUGUGGUGGAAAGCUUUUGCGGUGUGGGAUGGGCCCGCGGCCUAUCAGCUUGUUGGUGGGGUGAUGGCCUACCAAGGCGACGACGGGUAGCCGGCCUGAGAGGGUGUCCGGCCACACUGGGACUGAGAUACGACCCAGACUCCUACGGGAGGCAGCAGUGGGGAAUAUUGCACAAUGGGCGCAAGCCUGAUGCAGCGACGCCGCGUGGGGGAUGACGGCCUUCGGGUUGUAAACCCCUUUCAGCACAGACGAAGCGUAAGUGACGGUAUGUGCAGAAGAAGCACCGGCCAACUACGUG
rnacentral:rRNA from 1 species